rnacentral:RNase_P_RNA from 1 species
AGCUGAUUGGGUGAUUGCUCAAAGUUAUUUGAGAGGAAAGUCCGGGCACCAAAGAGUAUAGUGCCACCUAACAGGUGGGAUCCGUGAGGAUAUGGAUAGUGCAGCAGAGAAUAGACCGCCAUUUUGGUAAGGGUGAAACGGAGGUGUAAGAGACCCCCAGUAACAGUGGUAACAUUGUUAGCUUGUAAACCCCACUAGGUGCAAGAUCAAGUAGUUCUGAGAUGUGACUCGCAUCAUUUGAAGAACGGGUAGAUUGCUAGAGUUCUAUAGCGAUAUAGGAUCGAGAGGAAUGAUCAUCGCAUCAUCACGAUGUACAAAACCCGGCUUACAGAUCAGCUCA